rnacentral:rRNA from 1 species
ACGCUCGACACCUACGGUAGGCAGCAGUGGGGAAUAUUGCACAAUGGGGGAAACCCUGAUGCAGCGACGCCGCGUGGAGGAAGAAGGUCUUCGGAUUGUAAACUCCUGUUGUUGGGGAAAAAGAGGAUGGUACCCAACAAGGAAGUGACGGCUAACUACGUGCCAGCAGCCGACGGUAAUCUGAGGCGGGCUGGCAAGGC